GAUGAAGAAGCAGCGAAAUGCGAUAAGUAAUGUGAAUUGCAGAAUUCAGUGAAUCAUCGAAUCUUUGAACGCACAUUGCGCCCGGUAGUAAUCUGCCGGGCAUGCCUGUCCGAGCGUCAUUUCAACCCUCGAACCACUAUUCGCGUAGCUGGAUCGGUGUUGGGGCACUACGGUGGAAUACCCGUAGGCCCCGAAAUGAAGUGGCGGUCCCGCCGCGGCGCCCCCAUGCGUAGUAACAUCUCGUCUCGCAUCGGGUCCCGGCGGAGGCCUGCCGUCAAGCCUAUUUUCUAAUUACAGAUGGUUUGACCUCGGAUCAGGUAGGGUUACCCGCUGAACUUAAGCAUAUCAAUAAGCGGAGGA
rnacentral:misc_RNA from 1 species